ACGUCCCUGCCCUUUGUACACACC
rnacentral:ncRNA from 6 species